rnacentral:rRNA from 1 species
UACGAAGGGUGCAAGCGUUACUCGGAAUUACUGGGCGUAAAGCGUGCGUAGGUGGUCUGUUAAGUCUGAUGUGAAAGCCCUGGGCUCAACCUGGGAAUUGCAUUGGAUACUGGCAGGCUAGAGUGCGGUAGAGGGUAGUGGAAUUCCCGGUGUAGCAGUGAAAUGCGUAGAGAUCGGGAGGAACACCAGUGGCGAAGGCGACUACCUGGACCAGCACUGACACUGAGGCACGAAAGCGU